UACGGAGGAUGCAAGCGUUAUCCGGAUUGAUUGGGCGUAAAGCGUCUGUAGGUGGUUACGCUAGUCGGCUGUUAAAGAUCAGGGCUGAACCCUGAGCAAGCAGUCGAAACUGCGUGACUGGAGUACGGGUAGAGGCAGAGGGAAUUCCCGGUGUAGCGGUGAAAAUGCGUAGAUAUCGGGAAGAACACCAAAGGCGAAAGCGCUCUGCUGGGCCGAAACUGACACUGAGAGACGAAAGCUAGGGGAGCGAAUGGGAUAG
rnacentral:rRNA from 1 species